CGAAAGAUAUGGCUCAAGAUUUCGCUGAACAAAAACAAUUUCCUGAACCUGUAGAUGAUAUUAAUGGGAAAACUGAGUUCACAGAUCCACCUGUUGGGUAUGAAAAACCACUUGAGGAGGAGCCUGCUCCAUCACAGCCUCUUUUGGAGGAAAGUGCUCCAGAAAAAACUGCUAUUGCUGUUGAUGUCUUACCUGAAUCACAGUGUGAAGGAGAAGAUGAAUGGCAAUCUGUUCAAAGACCAAGAUCAGGUCGCUCAUACGGACGACGACUAAGGCAGCGGAAAGCGGCUAUGAGCAAGGUUUACCCUUAUGAGAAGAAAGAUGUGAACUCUGAACCAGAAAUAUUAAGAACAGGGAAUACUUAUCAAAGUAGUAAGCAUCAGAUGCUAAAGAAACGAAUUUUGUCUCCCGGAAGUUAUGUUGAGCAGCACUCAGCAAAAAGUCCCUUUCAGGGUAACAAAUUUGGUCGGAGAACUGUGCAAGCUGUAAGAUACAGAGUGAAGUCUGUUCCAUCCACCAAGGAUUUGACAUUUGAGAAAUUGAACAUUGGCGAAGAAGAAGCUUUAGAAUCCAGACCUGUUUCUAUGGAAAGAGAAGUGAGCCUAUCAAUGAAAAGCUCAAUAAUUGGCCUCGUAAAAUCACCCUCGUACAAAGAAGUAGCACUGACGCCACCAGGUACUAUUUCAAUGCUGCAAGUCCGGGCAUCGGAGGAUGACUUUCCUGCAAAAGAGGAACUCAUUGUAAGAGAUGAAGAAACCAGUAAAGCAGGAGAUAAGAAAUUUGGCUCAACUGUUGUUAAUCCAGAAAAAACAUAUUCAACUGAUAAGGAUGAGGAUAAUCAAUCCAAGGCAGUACCUCGUAAUGUGGAAAUGACUCAAUCCAGCACUGCUAAGAAUUUUCAAGUUGCACCUAGGAUUUUUGAAGGUAAAGAUCCUUCAUACUCCACUUCACAAGGAGAAAAGGAUUCAAAUGAAAUCCCUUCUCUUCCAUGUGAUAUUGGUACUCGAGAUAUCUCCAAGAAGUUGUCUGCAUCGGCUGCUCCAUUCAAUCCUUCGCCAACUGCGACACAAAUUCCUCCUUUUCCCUUGAGUAUAGUUCUUCCUCCAGGGCCUGGUUCUGUUCCAGCUGUUGGUCUGUGGCCAAUAAAUAUGAAUCUUCAUCAAGGGACGGCUGUUAAUUUCUCAAGCCCAACCAUUUUAAACUCUCUGCAGUAUGUCUACCCUCCGUAUAUUCAUUCACGACCAUUACA
rnacentral:lncRNA from 1 species